GUCUUUUUGAUCAUAAUUUAAAGUCUGACCUGCCCGAUGAGUUAUUCAAUGGCCGCAGUAUUUUAACUGUGCGAAGGUAGCAUAAUAAUUAGUUUUUUAAUUGAGAACUGGUAUGAAUGGUUGGACGAGAAAAUAGCUGUCUCAGUUUAAUUUUAAUUAGAAUUUUAUUUUUAAGUUAAAAAGCUUAAAUAUUUUUAAAAGACGAGAAGACCCUAUAGAGUUUUAUAUUAAAUUUAUAUUGAAUUUAUAAAGUAUUUUAUUUAUUUUAUUUAAUUUUAUUAUUUUAUUGGGGUGAUAUAAAAAUUUGAUAAACUUUUUAUUUUUUAUAACAUUGAUAUAUGUUUAAAUGAUCCAUUAUUUAUGAUUAAAAGAUUAAAUUACCUUAGGGAUAACAGCGUAAUUUUUUUUUAGAGUUCUUAUCGAAAAAAAAGUUUGCGACCUCGAUGUUGGAUUAAA
rnacentral:rRNA from 1 species